GAUGAACGCUGGCGGCGUGCCUAAUACAUGCAAGUCGAACGAAAUACCUUCGGGUAUUUAGUGGCGAACGGGUGAGUAAUACGUAGAUAACCUGCCUAUAGGACUGGGAUAACUAUUGGAAACGAUAGCUAAUACCGGAUAGGUAGAACGAGGGCAUCCUUGUUCUAUUAAAGUUGGGAAACAACACAUAUAGAUGGAUCUACGGCGCAUUAGUUAGUUGGUGGGGUAACGGCCUACCAAGACGAUGAUGCGUAGCCGACCUGAGAGGAUGAUCAGCCACACUGGGACUGAGACACGGCCCAGACUCCUACGGGAGGCAGCAGUGGGGAAUAUUGGACAAUGGGCGAAAGCCUGAUCCAGCCAUGCCGCGUGAGUGAUGAAGGCCCUAGGGUUGUAAAGCUCUUUCAGUGGGGAAGAUAAUGACGGUACCCACAGAAGAAGCCCCGGCUAACUUCGUG
rnacentral:rRNA from 1 species